UACGUAGGGUGCAAGCGUUGUCCGGAAUUAUUGGGCGUAAAGAGCUCGUAGGCGGUUUGUCACGUCGGAUGUGAAAACCCGAGGCUUAACCUCGGGCCUGCAUUCGAUACGGGCUGACUAGAGUUCGGUAGGGGAGACUGGAAUUCCUGGUGUAGCGGUGAAAUGCGCAGAUAUCAGGAGGAACACCGGUGGCGAAGGCGGGUCUCUGGGCCGAUACUGACGCUGAGGAGCGAAAGCGUGGGGAGCAAACAGG
rnacentral:rRNA from 1 species